GACGGGGGAUGCAAGUGUUAUCCGGAAUCACUGGGCGUAAAGCGUCUGCAGGUGGUUUCCUAAGUCCACUGUUAAACCUUGAGGCUCAACCUCAAAAUCUGCAUUGGAAACUAGGAGACUUGAGUAUAGUAGGGGUAGAGGGAAUUUCCAGUGGAAGCGGUGAAAUGCGUAGAUAUUGGAAAGAACACCGAUGGCGAAGGCACUCUACUGGGCUAUUACUGACACUCAGAGACGAAAGCUAGGGGAGCAAAUGGG
rnacentral:rRNA from 1 species